rnacentral:rRNA from 1 species
AACAAGUACCGUGAGGGAAAGUUGAAAAGAACUCUGAAUAGAGAGUUAAACAGUACGUGAAACUGCUUAGAGGUUAAGCCCGAUGAACCUGAAUAUCCGUUAUGGAAAAUUCAUCAUUAAAAUUGUAAUAUUUAAAUAAUAUUAUGAGAAUAGUGUGCAUUUUUUCCAUAUAAGGACAUUGUAAUCUAUUAGCAUAUACCAAAUUUAUCAUAAAAUAUAACUUAUAGUUUAUUCCAAUUAAAUUGCUUGCAUUUUAACACAGAAUAAAUGUUAUUAAUUUGAUAAAGUGCUGAUAGAUUUAUAUGAUUACAGUGCGUUAAUUUUUCGGAAUUAUAUAAUGGCAUAAUUAUCAUUGAUUUUUGUGUUUAUUAUAUGCACUUGUAUGAUUAACAAUGCGAAAGAUUCAGGAUACCUUCGGGACCCGUCUUGAAACACGGACCAAGGAGUCUAACAUAUGUGCAAGUUAUUGGGAUAUAAACCUAAUAGCGUAAUUAACUUGACUAAUAAUGGGAUUAGUUUUUUAGCUAUUUAUAGCUAAUUAACACAAUCCCGGGGCGUUCUAUAUAGUUAUGUAUAAUGUAUAUUUAUAUUAUUUAUGCCUCUAACUGGAACGUACCUUGAGCAUAUAUGCUGUGACCCGAAAGAUGGUGAACUAUACUUGAUCAGGUUGAAGUCAGGGGAAACCCUGAUGGAAGACCGAAACAGUUCUGACGUGCAAAUCGAUUGUCAGAAUUGAGUAUAGGGGCGAAAGACCAAUCGAACCAUCUAGUAGCUGGUUCCUUCCGAAGUUUCCCUCAGGAUAGCUGGUGCAUUUUAAUAUUAUAUAAAAUAAUCUUAUCUGGUAAAGCGAAUGAUUAGAGGCCUUAGGGUCGAAACGAUCUUAACCUAUUCUCAAACUUUAAAUGGGUAAGAACCUUAACUUUCUUGAUAUGAAGUUCAAGGUUAUGAUAUAAUGUGCCCAGUGGGCCACUUUUGGUAAGCAGAACUGGCGCUGUGGGAUGAACCAAACGUAAUGUUACGGUGCCCAAAUUAACAACUCAUGCAGAUACCAUGAAAGGCGUUGGUUGCUUAAAACAGCAGGACGGUGAUCAUGGAAGUCGAAAUCCGCUAAGGAGUGUGUAACAACUCACCUGCCGAAGCAACUAGCCCUUAAAAUGGAUGGCGCUUAAGUUGUAUACCUAUACAUUACCGCUAAAGUAGAUGAUUUAUAUUACUUGUGAUAUAAAUUUUGAAACUUUAGUGAGUAGGAAGGUACAAUGGUAUGCGUAGAAGUGUUUGGCGUAAGCCUGCAUGGAGCUGCCAUUGGUACAGAUCUUGGUGGUAGUAGCAAAUAAUCGAAUGAGACCUUGGAGGACUGAAGUGGAGAAGGGUUUCGUGUGAACAGUGGUUGAUCACGAGUUAGUCGGUCCUAAGUUCAAGGCGAAAGCCGAAAAUUUUCAAGUAAAACAAAAAUGCCUAACUAUAUAAACAAAGCGAAUUAUAAUACACUUGAAUAAUUUUGAACGAAAGGGAAUACGGUUCCAAUUCCGUAACCUGUUGAGUAUCCGUUUGUUAUUAAAUAUGGGCCUCGUGCUCAUCCUGGCAACAGGAACGACCAUAAAGAAGCCGUCGAGAGAUAUCGGAAGAGUUUUCUUUUCUGUUUUAUAGCCGUACUACCAUGGAAGUCUUUCGCAGAGAGAUAUGGUAGAUGGGCUAGAAGAGCAUGACAUAUACUGUUGUGUCGAUAUUUUCUCCUCGGACCUUGAAAAUUUAUGGUGGGGACACGCAAACUUCUCAACAGGCCGUACCAAUAUCCGCAGCUGGUCUCCAAGGUGAAGAGUCUCUAGUCGAUAGAAUAAUGUAGGUAAGGGAAGUCGGCAAAUUAGAUCCGUAACUUCGGGAUAAGGAUUGGCUCUGAAGAUUGAGAUAGUCGGGCUUGAUUGGGAAACAAUAACAUGGUUUAUGUGCUCGUUCUGGGUAAAUAGAGUUUCUAGCAUUUAUGUUAGUUACUUGUUCCCCGGAUAGUUUAGUUACGUAGCCAAUUGUGGAACUUUCUUGCUAAAAUUUUUAAGAAUACUAUUUGGGUUAAACCAAUUAGUUCUUAUUAAUUAUAACGAUUAUCAAUUAACAAUCAAUUCAGAACUGGCACGGACUUGGGGAAUCCGACUGUCUAAUUAAAACAAAGCAUUGUGAUGGCCCUAGCGGGUGUUGACACAAUGUGAUUUCUGCCCAGUGCUCUGAAUGUCAAAGUGAAGAAAUUCAAGUAAGCGCGGGUCAACGGCGGGAGUAACUAUGACUCUCUUAAGGGGAUCAUGGGGUAUUUGAGAGCAGAGGGGGAGUAUUCUUCUGUAACUCGUAAGUCAUAUCAUAUGAUGUGCGGAAGGGGAAUUUUACUCUGUAACUCACAAGUCUCUCCUUUACUCAAGUCGACUCAAAACCUCCUCGUGGUGGUCCCCGGUAAUGCUAAACUCGUUUAGCAGCUAAUUUGAGCGGCAAAACUUUUCCGAUGGGCUGGUUCCCCAGAGGAAAUUUAUUCAUAUUGGAACUACAAGCACAAAUAACGAGCCUCGGAUACCUUUACACAAUCUGAUGACGACCCGACCCUCCGUGGAUAUCUUCCCGGAGGACCAAUAUGAACCAAACGCAGCGGCUACUCUAUCUAGGGUUCCCUGCACAGUAUGUGGCCGGUCCUUUAACAGCAAGAGAGGACUCGGUGUUCACAUGCGAUCUCGGCACCCAGACGAACUUGAUGAAGAACGUCGACGUGUCGAUAUAAAGGCAAGAUGGAGUGAUGAAGAGAAGUGGAUGAUGGCGAGAAAGGAGGUUGAGCUCACAGCAAAUGGAUGUAAACACAUAAACAAGCAACUAGCGGUGUAUUUUGCAAACCGCGGCGUCGAAGCCAUCAAAAAGCUAAGACA